AACGAACGCUGGCGGCAGGCUUAACACAUGCAAGUCGAACGCAUCCUUCGGGGUGAGUGGCAGACGGGUGAGUAACGCGUGGGAACGUGCCCUUCAGUUCGGGAUAACCCAGGGAAACUUGGGCUAAUACCGGAUACGUGCGAGAGCAGAAAGAUUUAUCGCUGAAGGAUCGGCCCGCGUCUGAUUAGCUAGUUGGUGAGGUAAUGGCUCACCAAGGCGACGAUCAGUAGCUGGUCUGAGAGGAUGAUCAGCCACAUUGGGACUGAGACACGGCCCAAACUCCUACGGGAGGCAGCAGUGGGGAAUAUUGGACAAUGGGCGCAAGCCUGAUCCAGCCAUGCCGCGUGAGUGAUGAAGGCCUUAGGGUUGUAAAGCUCUUUCGUCCGGGACGAUAAUGACGGUACCGGAAGAAGAAGCCCCGGCUAACUUCGUGCCAGCCGCCGCGGUAA
rnacentral:rRNA from 1 species